GUCUGCAACCAUAUUAUAUUGAUUCUGGAAGCUUAUCAGGGUCAGGCCUGGCCAGUACUUGGAGGGUAGACCACCUGUGAAUACUGGGUGCUGUACACU
ensembl:rRNA 5S_rRNA 5S ribosomal RNA